rnacentral:rRNA from 1 species
CGGGGGGAGCAAGCGUUGUUCGGAUUUACUGGGCGUAAAGGGCGGGUAGGCGGCCACCGCAAGUCGACUGUGAAAUCUCCGGGCUUAACUCGGAAAGGUCAGCCGAUACUGCGGGGCUAGAGUGCAGAAGGGGCAACUGGAAUUCUCGGUGUAGCGGUGAAAUGCGUAGAUAUCGAGAGGAACACCUGCGGCGAAGGCGGGUUGCUGGGCUGACACUGACGCUGAACUGCGAAAGCUAGGGGAGCGAACGGGAUUAGAUACCCCGGUAGUCCUAGCCUUAAACGAUGAAUGCUUGGUGUCUGGGGUUUUAUAGUCCCCGGGUGCCGUCGCUAACGCUUUAAGCAUUCCGCCUGGGGAGUACGGUCGCAAGACUG